rnacentral:rRNA from 1 species
UACGUAGGGGGCUAGCGUUGUCCGGAUUUAUUGGGCGUACAGAGCGUGUAGGCGGCCAGGUAGGUCUGGUGUGAAAACUCGAGGCUUAACCUCGAGAUGUCAUCGGAAACCAUCUGGCUAGAGUCCGGAAGAGGAGAGUGGAAUUCCUGGUGUAGCGGUGAAAUGCGCAGAUAUCAGGAAGAACACCAAUGGCGAAAGCAGCUCUCUGGGACGGUACUGACGCUGAGACGCGAAAGCGUGGGGAGCGAACAGG